UCUCAUCUGUUCUUCAAUAUUUAUUUCUUUCUUUUGUUUUACCGGGUUUUCACUUUCCACGGUCUUUAUAUCUGAAACUUCGAAUCUCACAUUAGCGUGUGCUUUAGCAUCAUCUCUCAGUUGUUCUACAUUUCCAGGAAUUUCUUUUCAAACCCCUUUUAAUCCCAAUGUUUCCUUUACUGGGAUCGUCUCUGGGAAUGGGUUUUGACUUCUUGUGUGGGUUGAGACCUUCGUUUUCCUCACCCAACGUUUCAGACAUGCUUUGUUUGAGAUUCUUCGACAAUGGUACUACCAUGGAGUUGAAACGAAUUUAUAAUGGUCCAUCUCUCAUCCAAUUUGAAGCUGGAAACUCCCGCAUUUUGUGGUCUUACUGAGACCAACGCUCUAAAUGUUGGCAAUGGCCUAAAUUCAAUCAUACCAGGGAACCAAACCAAAGAAAUGGUAAACUCGACCCGACUACCCCCCAAUAGCCUUGGAUUAACCUCCCUGCAGCAACUCCCUGCAGAAACCACCAAGCUUAGUCGAGCUACACCAACACCGACGAUGCAAAUCACCACGAAGCUCAGUCGAAAUCCAAUGGCUAACGACGUGAGCUCCACCCAUGUACCUUUUCUUCACCUACGAAACCACCAUUAACGACCAUAGGUACAUCAACCUAAGACUAGAAAAAAAUAAACCCCAUUUCCUUUUUCUCGCGGUGCUUCUCCUCGUUUUCAGAACUUGUUCGAUUCUCUACAAUGAAUUCAACUUUCAACAAAUCCAUGAAAGCCCGGAUCAUGUUCUGCUCGCAGCACUCAACGAAUUUUGUUUACUUUAUGAAUCAAAUAUUCGCCAAGGAGCAUGGUUUGAUCUUCGUGGAGGUAUCGGCCAAAACUGGUCACAAUGUUGAGGAGACAUUUAUAGAAACUGCUGCAACCAUAUACACAAAGAUUCAGGAUGGAGUUUUUGAUGUGUUCAAUGAGUCGUACGGCAUAAAAGUUGGUUACGGUGAAAUUCUAGGGCCAUUUGGAGGUCGAGAUGGUUCUUCUUCGCAAGGUGGCAGCUGCUGCAAUUGAAAUUCCGAGUUCUCAUUCUCGAAAAUGGAAUACAGCUUCACAACUACGAUUUGAAGAUGUAGUGUGAAGAUGUGGAAUGUUUAUGAAAUUUUAAAGAAAUGAGAUUGAAAUGUUGGGAAAAUGGGGUUAUGAUUCCAACAAGAAAAUCACGUGGGUAGAGACUUGAAAAAAUAAAGUUGAAAAUCUCAUCAUGAGUCCUCAAGGUUUGGUAAGAACUUAGCCUUAUCUCAUAGUUUCCAUUAGUUUUAGUUUAUGGCCCAAUAGUGCAAAUUAAUUCGGUUCAGUCCCUAAUUUUAGUGAUUAAUUAUUAGAGUAGCCCCACAAGUAUUAUAUUAUACUAAUUGGGUUUCCAAAUAAUUAUUUUAAUUCUAAUAAGCUAUCUUUAUGGCGAGGGAAAUUAUUUGGAUACAAGUCAGUAAUUUUGAUGGUCUGGACCGUGAGGAAAAUAUUGGAAGCUUGAACUCAAAGUUGUUCAUCCCGACCCGCUCGUCUACGAGAGCCCGUGAUUAUUCGUUUUCGUACAGUAGAAGAGCGUAGUGAGGCUGGUGCUCAAUAGAUCUUCCGGAUUGACCCGUUUUGCGAGAUACUAUCGGAUAUACAUUUUGUAUCAGACACUUGGAGGAUUGGUACAUUUAAUUCAAAUCAUUUUGUUGUAAUAUUCUGUCUUCCGAACUGCUUUUAAUU